UACGUAGGGUGCGAGCGUUGUCCGGAAUUAUUGGGCGUAAAGAGCUCGGUAGGCGGCCUGUCGCGUCGGAUGUGAAAGCCCGGGGCUUAACCCCGGGUCUGCAUUCGAUACGGGCAGGCGUAGAGUUCGGUAGGGGAGAUCGGGAAUUCCUGGUGUAGCGGUGAAAUGACGCAGAUAUCGGGAAGAACACCCGUGGCGAAGGCGGUUCUCUGGGACGGUACUGACGCUGAGACGCGAAAGCGUGGGGAGCGAACAGG
rnacentral:rRNA from 1 species